rnacentral:rRNA from 1 species
AGGGUGUAAACGCUGCAGACUUGGUGUUGGGAACCCUUCGGGGGUGCUCAGUGCCGGAGAGAAGUUGUUAAGUCUGCUACUUGGGAGUACGUCCGCAAGGAUGAAACUUAAAGGAAUUGGCGGGGAGCACCGCAACGGGAGGAGCGUGCGGUUUAAUUGGACUCAACGCCGGACAACUCACCGGGAACGACGGCAAUAUGUAGGCCAGGCUGAAGACCUUGCCUGAAUCGCUGAGAGGUGGUGCAUGGCGUAGACGUCU